UCCAAACUUGAAAACAAGGACCAACAUAAAAUAUACUAGAAGCAAAGCAGAAAGCCCAUCUAAAAGCAGUUUCUCAAAGGAAUAAAUAAAUGGAGUUAUUAAAAUUUUUCUUUUUUCAUCACAAAGACAGUGCUUUAUCUGUGAUAACUCAAAACUCCAGGAACAAAAAAUUAUGAGGGGCAUCCAGCAGUUAUUGGCAAGUGGUGGGCUACUGGAAAGAAAUAGAUAGAAGCUACAAACCCAAAUUACCUAAAGUGGAUGGGACCUUGGAAAUUUGGCAUCUCAAGUAUUGCUCUAUGUUAAAAUGUCUAUAGUGGACAAAUGAAGAUGGCACCAAUUUACUCAGACCAUGCUUACAUCAGUACUGUCAUAAGCUUACAUCUUAGGAUUAUGCUUUAUCUAUUAGAACAUGUUGUUCAUUGGAACCUAUAUAAAUUUUGAAAUACCAUCCUUCUUUUCCAGAACAAAAAAUAAAGCAUACUCAAAGUUGUUAGCUAUUUUCAUUUUUUUUAGUAGAUAACAUUCUGUCGGUGAAGGUUCUUUACUUGUAGAAAACAACAAAUUAAAUGCACACAAAUUGAGGAUUCACCCAAAAUUCAAGAAUUAUGAACAUAGAAAUCCUAUAGGUGUUGACAAAACAACAAAAUCAAUGUGCUAAUGAAUUGUAAGUUGAACAAGCAUCAAAAUAUAGCCAAAAGUGCCUCAUCCAAGAACAGUGUGCCUAACAUUUUCGCAAUUUAAUCUUUAUAGUAGAUACAACACAUAAAUAAAAUGCAAAACAUUACAUAGGCAUUCAAUCAAGCAUGUGGUGUGCAAUGCUGAAGAAGCCCUUCAUGGACAUACAAACUGAGACCAAGAGAUUCAGGCAAACAACACUUGAUUUGAUUUUCAUUUUUAGCAUUCAGCAACAAUCGUUACAAAUCAGUAACAACAGCAAGAAAAUUUCAACAAAAGCUUCAGGAAUUAAAAAAAGAGCAACAGCACAAAAUCAAUUAUUUGAUUUUCCAUUAACCCAGUCACAGUUUCACAUUCAAAAAUCAACAAGGUCACAUUCAAAAGCCAACAACAGGG